rnacentral:rRNA from 1 species
UGCCAGACUCCUACGGGAGGCAGCAGUGGGGAAUAUUGCACAAUGGGGGAAACCCUGAUGCAGCGACGCCGCGUGAAGGAAGAAGUAUUUCGGUAUGUAAACUUCUAUCAGCAGGGAAGAAAAUGACGGUACCUGACUAAGAAGCCCCGGCUAACUACGUGCCAGCAGCCGCGGUAAUACGUAGGGGGCAAGCGUUAUCCGGAUUUACUGGGUGUAAAGGGAGCGUAGGCGGUUUAGCAAGUCAGAAGUGAAAGCCCGGGGCCCAACCCCGGGACUGCUCUGGAAACUGCGUCGCUGGAGUACGGGAGGGGCAGGCGGAAUUCCUGGUGUAGCGGUGAAAUGCGUAGAUAUCAGGAGGAACACCGGCGGCGAAGGCGGCCUGCUGGACCGUGACUGACGUUGAGGCUCGAGAGCGUGGGGAGCAAACAGGAUUAGAUACCCGUGUA